rnacentral:sRNA from 1 species
AAAGCCCUCGCUGUGAUCAGGAUGGGUGUCUCAUUCCUUUUCUCUGGGGUCAUUCCAGGUAUGAGACAGAGUUGAACCUGCGCAUGAGUGUGGAGGCCGACAUCAAUGGCCUGCGCAGGGUGCUGGACGAACUGACCCUGGCCAGAGCUGACCUGGAGAUGCAGAUUGAGAGCCUGAAGGAGGAGCUGGCCUACCUGAAGAAGAACCACGAGGAGGAGAUGAAUGCCCUGAGAGGCCAGGUGGGUGGAGAUGUCAAUGUGGAGAUGGACGCUGCACCUGGCGUGGACCUUAGCCGCAUUCUGAACGAGAUGCGUGACCAGUAUGAGAAGAUGGCAGAGAAGAACCGCAAGGACGCCGAGGAAUGGUUCUUCACCAAGACAGAGGAGCUGAACCGCGAGGUGGCCACCAACAGCGAGCUGGUGCAGAGCGGCAAGAGCGAGAUCUCAGAGCUCCGGCGCACCAUGCAGAACCUGGAGAUUGAGCUGCAGUCCCAGCUCAGCAUGAAAGCAUCCCUGGAGAACAGCCUGGAGGAGACCAAAGGCCGCUACUGCAUGCAGCUGGCCCAGAUCCAGGAGAUGAUUGGCAGCGUGGAGGAGCAGCUGGCCCAGCUCCGCUGCGAGAUGGAGCAGCAGAACCAGGAGUACAAGAUCUUGCUGGACGUGAAGACGCGACUGGAGCAGGAGAUUGCCACCUACCGCCGCCUGCUGGAG